GGCUCGCAGGCGGUUUCUUAAGUCUGAUGUGAAAGCCCCCGGCUCAACCGGGGAGGGUCAUUGGAAACUGGGGAACUUGAGUGCAGAAGAGGAGAGUGGAAUUCCACGUGUAGCGGUGAAAUGCGUAGAGAUGUGGAGGAACACCAGUGGCGAAGGCGACUCUCUGGUCUGUAACUGACGCUGAGGAGCGAAAGCGUGGGGAGCGAACAGGAUUAGAUACCCUGGUAGUCCACGCCGUAAACGAUGAGUGCUAAGUGUUAGGGGGUUUCCGCCCCUUAGUGCUGCAGCUAACGCAUUAAGCACUCCGCCUGGGGAGUACGGUCGCAAGACUGAAACUCAAAGGAAUUGACGGGGGCCCGCACAAGCGGUGGAGCAUGUGGUUUAAUUCGAAGCAACGCGAAGAACCUUACCAGGUCUUGACAUCCUCUGACAAUCCUAGAGAUAGGACGUCCCCUUCGGGGGCAGAGUGACAGGUGGUGCAUGGUUGUCGUCAGCUCGUGUCGUGAGAUGUUGGGUUAAGUCCCGCAACGAGCGCAACCCUUGAUCUUAGUUGCCAGCAUUCAGUUGGGCACUCUAAGGUGACUGCCGGUGACAAACCGGAGGAAGGUGGGGAUGACGUCAAAUCAUCAUGCCCCUUAUGACCUGGGCUACACACGUGCUACAAUGGACAGAACAAAGGGCAGCGAAACCGCGAGGUUAAGCCAAUCCCACAAAUCUGUUCUCAGUUCGGAUCGCAGUCUGCAACUCGACUGCGUGAAGCUGGAAUCGCUAGUAAUCGCGGAUCARCAUGCCRCGGKGAA
rnacentral:rRNA from 1 species